GUCGGGGCCAUUUCACAUUGAAUGCAGAGAUUCUUCUUAGAUCACCAAAGUUAAGCAACAUUGAGCCUAAUAAGUACUUAAAUGGGUGACUGCUUGGGAAACCAAGGUGCUGUAGGCA
rnacentral:rRNA from 1 species